rfam:Chelonia mydas contig254899, whole genome shotgun sequence.
AUAAUGUGGUUUCUCUUCAAAUAUAUAAAUCUUUUACCUUUUACUAAAGAUUUCUGUGGAGAGGAAUGUUCACGAGUUUCUACCCAAUUUUUUGAGGUUUUGUUUUGGUGAGGCU